rnacentral:lncRNA from 1 species
UCAGCUGUUAAGAGUCCUUGUUGCUUUUGCAGAGGACCCUGUUUUGGUUCCCAGCACUUAUAUGGUGGCUCACAGUCAUCUGUAACUCCAGUUCCUGAGAAUCUGAUAUUUUCUGGGAUUGCAUGUUCUGUACACACAAGUGGUGCACAGACAUACAGGAAGGCAGAACACCCGUAUACAUAAAAUAAAAAUAAAAGAGAGGCAGAAAGUGAGGUUGUAUAAUUUAUGCCACAAGUUUGCAUCUUAAAUUCCUUCCUGGACAAGCUUUCUUGUGGUUAUCCUCUAGUCCUGGAGCUGAGGCAGGAGGACUGCUGUCAGCAGCAGAGAAAAAGCUCACCUCUUCCCAUUCUCUAUUUCUGCAAUGCUCAGGAUUGAACCCAGGGCCUCACCCAUGCUAGCCAAGUACUCUACCAGCUCCAGCCCAAGACCCUCACAUCUU